UUCAAUUAGGUGCGCAACUGCCUUCAUGCGACCAUCCCGCGGUGAAAAUUCAACAAAACAUAAUGAUAAUACCUCCAAUUUGUAGCCAGCAAGUUAGGCAAAAAAAGUAUACCCAAAGCCGCCCCACCCGGAAAUCUAAAAAUAAAGCCGCCCGGCCGGAAAUUGAAAAAUGUCGAAAGAAGAAGAUGAAGACGACCGACGACGUUGUCCCACUGUCUGCAUUUGACUUCACAUGACAAUAUUCACAACUUUAAAUACUGUUAUGAAAAAAAAAAAAUCUUAAUUUAUUCAACCCGUGGACACUUACGGACCAAAGGAAUAUAAAUAAUCGAGAAAUGGACCAACGGUUGAACUACACCACCGCUUCUAAAGCACGAACUUUAAACUGUCUGCCAGUGACCAGGCGUUUUCAAGAGGCUCUUCCUAUGACCCCGUCCACAGCAGCUCAUCGUCCAGCUCCUGUGCUCCUGCUGCGUCUCUAAACUGGGAGUGCGCUGAUCUGAAUCUACUGCAGGUAGGCUGAUUGUUUUAUUUUUUUUUUUGUAGCUUUGGACAGAAAUUUUCCCCCUGUUUCCAGUAUUGAGCUGUCUGGCCUCAUAAUUAGAAGAACAUAUGAUCAAACGUA